rnacentral:rRNA from 1 species
UACAGAGGUCCCAAGCGUUGUUCGGAUUCACUGGGCGUAAAGGGUGCGUAGGCGGUCUGGUAAGUCUGACGUGAAAUCUCCGGGCCUAACCCGGAAACUGCGUCGGAUACUAUUCGGCUAGAGGAUUGGAAGGGAGACUGGAAUACUUGGUGUAGCAGUGAAAUGCGUAGAGAUCGGGAGGAACACCAGUGGCGAAGGCGGCCUUCUGGACCAAUACUGACGCUCAUGCACGAAAGCGUGGGGAGCAAACAGG